ensembl:piRNA 21ur-1116 ncRNA
UAUUGUGAGAAAUAAAGAAAU